rnacentral:rRNA from 1 species
AUCAACUUUCGAUGGUAGGAUAGAGGCCUACCAUGGUGGUAACGGGUAACGGGGUGUUAGGGCACGACACCGGAGAGGGAGCCUGAGAAACGGCUACCACAUCCAAGGAUGGCAGCAGGCGCGCAAAUUACCCAAUCCCGACACGGGGAGGUAGUGACAAUAAAUAACAAUACGGGGUUCUUUAGGAUCUCGUAAUUGGAAUGAGUACAAUUUAAAUCUCUUAACGAGGAACAAUUGGAGGGCAAGUCUGGUGCCAGCAGCCGCGGUAAUUCCAGCUCCAAUAGCGUAUAUUAAAGUUGUUGCAGUUAAAAAGCUCGUAGUUGAAUUUCGGGAUCAGUAGGUCGGUCGUGCCACUGGUAUGAACUGGUUUUACUGAUUCCUCCCUCUUGAAGAACUGUAAUGCCAUUAAUUUGGUGUUGCAGGGAAUCAGGACUGUUACUUUGAAAAAAUUAGAGUGUUUAAAGCAGGCUUUAGCUUGAAUACAUUAGCAUGGAAUAAUGAAAUAGGACGUUCGAUCCUAUUUUGUUGGUUUCUAGGAUUGACGUAAUGAUUAAUAGGGAUAGUUGGGGGCAUUAGUAUUCAAUUGUCAGAGGUGAAAUUCUUGGAUUUAUUGAAGACUAACUACUGCGAAAGCAUUUGCCAAGGAUGUUUUCAUUAAUCAAGAACGAAAGUUAGGGGAUCGAAGACGAUCAGAUACCGUCGUAGUCUUAACCAUAAACUAUGCCGACUAGGGAUCGGAUGAUGUUAAUUUUUUAAUGACUCAUUCGGCGCCUUACGGGAAACCAAAGUGUUUGGGUUC